AAGGAAUUAAAGGCGGAAUUAAAGGAGAAAUUAAAAACUAUGAGGCGAAACCGGCCGUGAGUGCGACGUCUGGGCCCGGGCUGGGGAGAUCCUCAGCCGUGACCCCGCACUGGGUCCACCCAGGUCUCUGAAGUUUGGGAAUGGGAUGAAGAUGGAGCUGCCUGGCUCAGCAGCGUGAUGUCCUGACCUGAUCUGAGCCAAAAGUGCACAAAAAGAUGCAGAAACUUGCACUGGAGAUGGAGAAGACAUUUCCCCCCUUUGCAUGGUCACCUGCUGUUAGAUCUGAAACUUUGCCAGGCUGCCCCAGUCCUAUGAAUGAGAAGUGUUUUUAGGCUUUACCCAUUUUCAUUUUGUGGUUGUGAAGUUCUGUCUGAUCAAGCCCUUUCAUGCUUCACAAAUACUUUUCAGUGUGACAGUUUAAAGCACUCUUGGUGGGGGAAAGUGUUUUAAUAAAUUGAAUAUGCAAAUUA